GACGAACGCUGGCGGCGUGCCUAAUACAUGCAAGUCGAACGCUUCUUUCCUCCCGAGUGCUUGCACUCAAUUGGAAAGAGGAGUGGCGGACGGGUGAGUAACACGUGGGUAACCUACCCAUCAGAGGGGGAUAACACUUGGAAACAGGUGCUAAUACCGCAUAACAGUUUAUGCCGCAUGGCAUAAGAGUGAAAGGCGCUUUCGGGUGUCGUUGAUGGAUGGACCCGCGGUGCAUUAGCUAGUUGGUGAGGUAACGGCUCACCAAGGCCACGAUGCAUAGCCGACCUGAGAGGGUGAUCGGCCACCCUGGGACUGAGACACGGCCCAGACUCCUACGGGAGGCAGCAGUAGGGAAUCUUCGGCAAUGGACGAAAGUCUGACCGAGCAACGCCGCGUGAGUGAAGAAGGUUUUCGGAUCGUAAAACUCUGUUGUUAGAGAAGAACAAGGACGUUAGUAACUGAACGUCCCCUGACGGUAUCUAACCAGAAAGCCACGGCUAACUACGUG
rnacentral:rRNA from 1 species